UGGUCGCGACCAGAGAAGGGGGAAAGGGGAAGAACCCUAGCUUGCUCAAUUAACUACAAAUUCAGUACAAUUAUGGAGGAUUCAUGUUACAAAUCGAAUGCUAAUGUCUAAAUACUCACUAAUCUCAGUGUUUUGAGCAUAAGGAUCGAAAGAAGAAGGAGCUAGUUCCGGAUCACAAACAAAGUCACAAGAUCGAGGUAAAGCACCCGUAUGAUGGUCGUUGCGUCGCUUGGAUACGAACACACCUUGAACACCCGUGAUGCGCUUCCGCACUUUUGUAGUUGCCUUAUUAGUUUAAGACUCUUGUUUAAGUUAGUAGUGUUGAAGUUUUAAAUUAACUAGUUGUUUGUGAAUGUUAAAUAUCUUAAACAUGAUGUUUUGAAUCGGUAGUUUAAAUGUCAAAAACUUUCUUAUGUUUUUGAAGAUGUCGUCAUUUUGAGUUUUGA